UUCCUAGUGGUCCAGUGGUUAAGACUCUGCAUUCCCAAUGCAGAGGGCACAUGUUUGAUCCCUGGCUGGGGAA
rnacentral:tRNA from 1 species